UGAAAAUCCCCGUCCCUCCAAGAACAAUUCAGACUAUAAAUCGCACCGCCACCUUUGGAAAUCGUCACAAAUGAAGAAAAAAAAAUUAAAAUAAUAAACCCUUAAAAAAGAAAAAUGAAAAAAAGAAAACACAUGUAGCUCCGCCCUACCAAAUGCGCACUUUACCGCUGAUACUUACGCACAGUGUGCACAUUCUUAAACGAGACCCUUCUGCACAUGUAUUUUCUUCGACACUUUUACGGAGAAUUUCUAUGGUGUGACAGUGCUAGGAGGCGUCCUGGACUCUGGUGGAGGAGUAUGGCUCUCGGAUCCUUUAGAUGGAUCAUCAGAUGAUUGCCGUAAUCCAUCAUCCGUCUCUCCCCUAUUCAUAUCCUCGAUCAUCCUUACAACCUCUUGCAUUGCUGGUCUUUGAUCAGGUACAGUGGAGACACAAGCCAUUGCUAUCUGCAACAACUGCACCAUUUCCUCCUCAAUGUUAUGGUACCUCAUCAACUCCACGUCAAAGACCUCAGCAGUCCAUUCCUCACGAACCACUGACUGGACCCACCUGGGCAAAUCAAUACCUUCUUCGCCUAAUGAGGCUUGAUUGGGUGCUUUGCCUGUUAGGAGCUCAAGGAGCAACACACCGAAACUGUACACAUCGGAUUUGAAGGUAACUUUGCGGGUUUCUACCACUUCUGGGGCGCGAUAGCCUGCGACUCGGCUAGGUGGCGUAGAGGUACCAAAGAGCGGGUUGAGCCCGUAAUCUGAAACGCAAGCGUCAUUGUCAGGUCGGAGUAGAAUGUUGGACGAUUUGAUGUUGCCAUGAAUCACCUUGCCCGCAAUGUGGAGGUGAGCAAGACCUCUUGCUG
rnacentral:lncRNA from 1 species